rnacentral:rRNA from 1 species
UACAGAGGUCUCAAGCGUUGUUCGGAUUCAUUGGGCGUAAAGGGUGUGUAGGUGGCGCCGUAAGUCGGGUGUGAAAUCUCGGAGCUUAACUCCGAAACUGCAUUCGAUACUGCCGUGCUUGAGGACUGGAGAGGAGACUGGAAUUUACGGUGUAGCGGUGAAAUGCGUAGAUAUCGUAAGGAAGACCAGUGGCGAAGGCGGGUCUCUGGACAGUUCCGUGACGCUGAGGAGCGAAAGCGUGGGGAGCGAACAGG